UCAAACGGAACCUCUGUGGCAAGAAGUUGAAUCAGGCUGACAUAGGCUACGCGCCUUCUAAACGAAAUUGCAACUCUUCAUAUAGCAGGCGGAGAGGGACGAAACCAAUGUGUUGUAAUCGCCUCACAGAAGACGAGCAUCUAGAUUCAAUGCUUCAACUUCGUGUCUCAUCAAUGCAGUGGUGUAAAGAACUUAGGUUACUUCUUACUGUAAACAAAUGGCUCGAUGUGGGUGAAUACGACACCACACUGUACUAAGGGUAUGAUUCUGAUAACGUUUCUGAGAUCUAAACGGGAUGGACAAACAGGCCACACAAAACUAACAGAGCCUUUUCCCCUUUCGGGGGCCGCUUAAAAUGGAAAUCUCGAUUUGGAUUUUUCUACAGACAUUUUACAUGAAGUAUCAAUUCCUAGUUUUAGGCCUGUAUUAGUUCUCAGACAUUUCAUAAAUCAAACACACAAGGUUCAGAAUGUUUCAAAGUAAAAGUGUGCACAAAACCAACUCUCUAUAAAAUGGCAGUAAGUUUGGUGGACAUUCUUAACCCCAACAUUUUCUAGUAAAUAACCUUUUUUUUUUAAAGAGACUGUCUGUUGUAUGUUAGCAUUCAAUGAAUGGAAAUGGACCCAGUAUUUGUUUGCACUAGCAAUAGUUAAAACAUUCCAUUGAAGAAAUGCUGUGGCUCAAACAUACAAUAAACAAGUAAAACAUAAACAGAUACUUAAAAAAAAACCAACCUUAUACAAAGUGUAGUUCUAUCAGUUAGCUUGGAUCAGUCAUGUAAUUCAAUUUGUAAUAGAUCUAGACUAACAACAAUAAAUAUCUAUGCAAUUAGAGUAUUCUACAAAUUAUUUUUGUUUAGCACUGUAUCAUGCAUUUAGCUUUCUCAAUACGCUAUCACCCUAUCACUAUCUUAUGAGAAUAGAAGAUUAUAUAAUUAUAUGUUUUUUGUGUCAAAUUUACUUUAAAGCAUCAACCUGUAAUUCAGCUUAAACUUCCACUUUAGUCAAGUACAAUCAAUAGUUAAUUAACUAAUUGGUUAUUUUUUUUAUAUUGAUUCUUGUGUUGUCAAGUAAAAUAAUUGUGCAAAAUUUCAGCUUGAUCCGAGAUUGGGUAAUGGAGAAAUAACAUGUACAAACGUUUGACCAAACAGAGAUGAUAUAAGCUUUGUAAGAAUAUGACAAACAGGCUUCACCUUUAGAGGUUUAGGCCAGCAACAGUAAGAGAAAAGAAACUUUUUUUCCAGAAAAUUUCAUCCAACAUUUUUUAUAUACAUCUUAAUAUAUA